UACGAGGGGUGCAAGCGUUGCUCGGAAUUAUUGGGCGUAAAGGGUAGGUAGGUGGUCUCAUUUGUCUGGGGUGAAAGCCUUGAGCUUAACUCAAGAAGUGCCCUAGAAACGGUGAGACUGGAGUCUUGGAGAGGGUCGUGGAAUUCCCGGUGUAGCGGUGAAAUGCGUAGAUAUCAAGAGGAACACCAGUGGCGAAGGCGAGUCCCUGGACAACACCUGACACUGAGGCACGAAAGCUAGGGGAGCAAACAGG
rnacentral:rRNA from 1 species